GGGACUGUGACAGCAUCACGGCAGGACGGGUGCUCUGUAAUCGUUACGCACCAGGUGUCUUGGGAGCAGAGGAGGUGGCUCCCCACAAGGUCACGUUGUGCUGAUGUGAUGGGUGAGAACGGUGAACGCCAGGCUCGUCAAGCUUUCCAAUUUGAGUCUUCAGCUAUCCAGAAGCUGUGAAGGGGCAGCCCCGUCACCAGACACAAUCCUUGCAAAGGGACAGCCUCCAUCAGCCUCCAUGGAAGACUGACAGACCCACACAGGGGAGAAUAAAUCAACCUGCAAAUGAAGCA